UUGUUCUUAUCGGGGAAUAUAUUCAAUAUUCCCCUCUAAUCAAUUUCCGUUUAAUAAUCCCCUCUAAUAUUCACCUGCAGUUAAUAAUCCCCCUAAUAUUCACCUGCAAUGUCUUUGCAGCACAAAAAAAUGAGAAAAAACAACAUCACGAAGGCAAUAUGGCAUUAAGAAUUAUUUCUAUUCUGACUCAUUAACGCGACCUCGCAAUGUGAAAAAUAAGUACG
rnacentral:lncRNA from 1 species